AUGGGAGAUCAUGUGCAGGGGCUGGUGGGCAACAUAUGGAGCGUGGACCCGAAAAAGGCCGCUCCCACGAAGGACGUGGUCGCGCCAGAAGAGGCCGAAGGCGGGACCGUGGGCAAAAUGAUGGACCCGACGAACCAGACCAGUGUUGGUACUCGCAAGGACAGUUGGGUUUUUGUACGACGGCUCAGUCAGUUUGUAUCACUGUGGUACACGUUCGGUGGAGGAACCAGACUGGAUGUUGGAUGUGAUGUGCGCCCGUACCUGACAGUGCUGCCCCCCUCCAGAGAAGACCUGGAGCAGGGGAAGGCCACGCUCAUGUGCCUGGCCAACAAGGGCUUCCCCUCAGACUGGAGUCUGGCCUGGAAGGUGGACGGCAGCAGCAGCAGCAGCAGCAGCAGCUGGGAGGAGAGCAGGAGCCCCGGGGUGCUGGGGAAGGACGGCCACUACAGCUGGAGCAGCACCCUGAGGCUCCCUGCAGACCAGUGGAGGAAGGUGGGCUCUGUGACCUGUGAGGCCACCCAGGGCUCCCAGACUCCGCUCUCAGAGACACUGAGGAGAGACCAGUGUUCCCAGUCCUGAGCUGACUCCCUGGCAGGGACUCUGCUACUGGUUUUACUCUGACACUGCUCUCACUCUGCUCUCUGCAGCUAGCUCUGGCUUUUAUUUCACCUGUUUCAAUAGACAUAUUUACCAGCUUGUUGCAAUGUUUCAAUAUUAUUUCAGUGUUUCCAGAUAAUAAAGAGGUAUUCAUCAAAUUAA